rnacentral:lncRNA from 1 species
UCCAGACACACCUUGGCCGUAAGCUUUUCUCAUUACUCAACAGCACCUUUCACUCAACACCAUUCGGAGAGCAAAGGGUCUGACUAACACUUCGGGAUUUGAGAAUCUGUGUCCCUAAUUUACAUGAGUAACUAUUGGAACUCGCGGAUAAAAUCAACGUGCCGGUUUGGCCACGCUCUUAGACCGUCUGGAGUGUCUGGCAGAAAAAGUUUGGGAAACCCUGACAUAGCAGCCGGGCCAGAUUACAGACCGGGCACGUGCCCUGGGGCCCCGAUCUUCAGAGGAACCCCAAAAAUAAUCUAAUAGUACAUGAACACAUCACAAACCAUUGUAAAAAUGUGUAGCAUUGCCGUAAAUGAGCUUUAAGACGGUAAACAUUUCUUGUAAAUGCAGGAAGUUAACUGAUUUCCUAAAUAUUAAAAAUGUUUUCAAAAGAAAA